rnacentral:lncRNA from 1 species
CGUGAGGGGGGUGGCGGGUCUGUGGGCAGGUGGACAAGGGUGGCAGGACCUGUGAGAUGAUGUGAGUGCAGCACAGUGGGGCUCUGUAAGAAGCGACCCGGGCAGCUUGAGCAGGGGCAGGCUGGGCGGUGCCUACGGGUCUCUGUCCACCGGAGCCUCUGUUCAGCCCACCUCAGUGUCGCUCCGGAUGUGGAUAGAAGGAGACACUGUCUGGGCCACAGACCAGGUGCUUCCUUCGUCCUGACCACACCUGCUUCUGCCCAGGAGACGCUGCAGGGGCUGUGCUCCCCGCCCGGCUACUCUUGAGUGGUCCCCAGGCUCCUCCUCCUCCCGGUUCCACCUGGAGCCGUGGGGCUGUGCCGGGGAUGCCUCGCUGCAGCUGCAGCUCAGGGAGAACUCACUGCUGGAGCUUCUGCCUCUCCCGUGCCGUGGGGCCGAGCCGAGCUCCACCAGGGUCUGGACUUCUGCACGGGCAGCUGUGCUUCCCAGGGUCGUGGAGAGGGGUCCUUGGUCCCAGCCACUGUGUGACCUCGACCAGGACACUUGACUUUCCUGCCCCCAGAGGGUCUUGUCUGGACCUCCAGAGCCCCCAGCCUUGCUCACUUGGCUCUGCUUCUGGGCAGGGUGCCCUGGCAUUGCUGUUGCUGGCACCUGCCGUGCCUUGGAGGGGUCUCCAGUGGGACCUCUGAGCACGGCUCUUCCUGUACUUCUCAGAGGUGAGCAGAGGGCAUUUGUGGGAGAACUGGAACCUGGGGAGGAAAAACCCCAAGGCUGGCAAAGACUCCCUGCAGUCUGUCCAGUGAUCCACUGAGGCUGAGUGGUGGAGGACAUGGAGGCCGGCCCGGGACCAGGACAUGGAGGCCGGCCAGGGACCUGGGGAAGAGAGGGCCUCAGUCUGGUGAGACCAGCCUGGUGGGUGCCUGGGGAAGAGAGGGCCUCAGUCCUGUGAGACCAGCCUGGUGGGUGCCUGGGGAAGAGAGGCCCUCAGUCCGGUGAGGAGACCAGCCUGGUGGGUGCAGGCCACCCUUGCCUGCUGUCAGGGCCUGCCCUUCUCUCCGGCCUCCAGCUGCUUUGCCCCAGCGAUCAGGCGCCUGAGCUUCCUCCCCCGAGCCUGAGUCCAGCUGAGCUCCGUGUGGCUUUCCCGGUGGAGCAGACUCUGUCUGAUUUCCCAACGGCUGGCGCCUCCCAGGGCGUGCUCCUUGCCACGGAACAGCCCCUUGGGGCCAGGUGUGUACUCCAGGCAGUGGCCCGGCAGUGCUGGGAAGUGCCGGUCAUGGCUGCUGCACGUGGGUUGCUGUCUGGGAGAGUCCUGUGGUGUUUGCUGAGGGCGGAGGACACCGAGGACAGAGAAUGGGCAACUUCCAGGGAGGGCCCAGAUGCAGCCACGACUGGGGUGCAUCUGGGAUACCUCGUCCAGGGACACUCCCCACCAUGGCCUGGUGCCUGUCCAGCAGGAAGAGCUUCAGGGCAGUAGGAAGGGGGAGUGGCCCCAGCUGCAGAGGGAAGGAGCUUGGUGGCAGGGCGGCAGGAGGGAUGGGAGGUCAGGCUGACGUCCACUGGCGAGAACACUUCAGAUGAAGAUAGUGUGGACCCCUGCCCAGUCCCAACACAGGCCCCAGACGCCCUGAAACCCCAGGGGCUCAGCCCAAAGCAAGGGCAGGAAGCAUUGCUUUACUGAGAAACCAUAAAAAUGUAGAAUUCCACCUCAAACGCUGCUGUGGCCGAUACUGAAGGUUAGAAAUGAGCCGGUGGGGCCCGACACGGUGGCUCACGCCUGUAAUUCCACCACUUUGGGAGGCCGAGGCAGGCAGAUCAUGAGGUCAGGAGAUCGAGACCAUCCUGGCUAACAUGGUGAAACCCCGUCUCUACUAAAAAUACAAAAAGAAAUUAGACGGGCCUGGUGGCGGGCACCUGUAGUCCCAGCUGCUUGGGAGGCUGAGGCAGGAGAAUGGUGUGAACCCAGGAGGCGGGGCUUGCAGUGAGCUGAGAUUGCACCACCGCACUCCAGCCUGGGUGAUAGAGCAAGAAAAAAAAAAAAAGAAAGAAAAGAAAUGAGCAGGUGGGUGCUUCCCAGGGGGGCCCCGUGGCCUGUCGGCCCCAUGCAUGAUGGCCCUCAACUCAGCCACAGCUCCCAGGGCAGCUGUGGCUCCUUGGGUGGCCCAAGACAGCUGCUGCGUGGUGUGAGCUUCGCUCAUGAGGCUGGGCAGAGGCUGGGAUCCCAGGUGUGAAGAUGGGCCUGGGUGGUGGCUGCUGGACCUUGUUGUCACAGAUGUGCCACCUGCUUCCCAAAACCGAGCACCAGGGGUCUGAGAGGUUGCUAUGGGAAGGUCGCUUGCUCCAGGGGGCCCUGGAACAGUUGCUAAGUUUAACGCCCUGGCCCAGGAUCCACCUGUCCUGCUGCAGACCAGCCCUGCUCAUUCCUCCCUCUGGCUGUGAAGAUGGAAGCCCAUGGGUUGGAUGCCUCGGGCCAGGGCUGUCACGCAAGGAAGCCUGGGGAGGACUGUGGCACUGACCCCAUGGGCCAUGGUAUCGCCUCAGGGCCCUGCCCCUCUGAUGUCCGUCUCCUCGGGGCCCCGCCCCUCUGGAUCUCGUCUCCUCAGGGCCCCGCCCCUCUGGAUCUCGUCUCCUCGGCGCCCCGCCCCUCUGGAUCCCUGUCUCCUCGGGGCCCCGCCCCUCUGGAUCUCGUCUCCUCGGCGCCCCGCCCCUCUGGAUCUCCGUCUCCUCGGCGCCCCACC